rnacentral:rRNA from 1 species
UACGUAGGGUGCAGGCGUUAAUCGGAAUUACUGGGCGUAAAGCGUGCGCAGGCGGUUUGCUAAGACAGGUGUGAAAUCCCCGGGCUCAACCUGGGAAUUGCGAUGGAGACUGCAAGGCUAGAAUCUGGCAGAGGGGGGUAGAAUUCCACGUGUAGCAGUGAAAUGCGUAGAGAUGUGGAGGAAUACCGAUGGCGAAGGCAGCCCCCUGGGAUAACACUGACGCUCAUGCACGAAAGCGUGGGGAGCAAACAGG